GCGAGCGUGGUGUAAUGGUAGCACACAGGUUUUCAGUACCUGCGAGACCCAAUCUUUAGUGCGAGUUCGAAUCUCGUCGCUCGCU
rnacentral:tRNA from 1 species